rnacentral:lncRNA from 1 species
GUAACGGCAAUGGGAGAUCAGAGCCCCGCGCGCGUUGCGGUCCUCGCGCUCGCAGCGCUCGCCUUCUGCGUAACGGUCGCGAUCAACGCGUUGGCCGGAUCCGGCAGCAAAGGAGGUCCCUUCCAUCAAAGCACAGGGAACGUAUCGGCCAAAUACGAAACGGACAUAACGCCGGCGGGCUGGACCUUCUCCAUCUGGGGAGUCAUCUACGCCUGGCUCUCUGCUAUGAUGCUCUACAUCGUAACUGGUUUGUGCCGGAGGAAUUCCUAUGGGUGGACGUACUGUAAGCCUGCAGUCCUGCCCUAUGGCUUCUUCUUGUCUUGGACCCUGAACAUGAUUUUAAACAUCGUGUGGUUGUUCCUGUGGGACAGAGAGCAACUUGUUGCAGGCCUUGUUGUGUUGGCCCUCAUCGCUUUCACCAAUUACCUCGUCAUUUUCUUCUGCUGUCACGGGUUGCAUUUAUACGGGGCUUGGCUGAACAAAGACCACAAAGUGGACCUCUGGGCCAUUCGGGUGCUGAUCCUGAACGGUGUUGGAGUCUAUGCAACGUGGACCACCAUAGCGACGCUGCUCAACUUCAGCGUUGUGCUGGAGUACAGUGCGGGGGCGUCCAGAGCCGGAGCAGGAACCGUGGGUCUCUCUCUUCUUUUGGCAGAGGUGAUCAUAUGGUUCAUUUUGGAGAACGUUUUGCUGGAGAGACACGUACGCUACCUCCUCACGGUCUACCCGGUGGUGAUUGUCGCCUUGACCGGCAACGUGGCGAAACGUUACGACCCCGCAGCUCCCAGUCGGAACAGCAUCUUUACAGGUGGGCAUAAAAUAAAGGUGGGCGACUGCUGGCGAGAAGAAACGCCGGCUUCUAGGGAAAGGUCUCGUAGGAAAGGUCUCAAAAGGAACGGUACACAGAUUUAUUCCUUUAUUCAUUGUAAUAUGAGCAUUGAAAUGAUUGAAUGGGCUCUUCGCUUACGUCGCAAGGGAUUGCUGUGUAUUUUUAUUUAUUUAUUUCCUCCCCCAGCUGUUCUCCUGGCCUUGGCCUGUGCGCUCUUCGUUCUGCGUGUUCUCUUGGUGGUAUUCAGAUGCUGGAAGCAGCCUCUCUACCGAGGCGAAAACACAGAAGCCCUGAUGUCACCCUUAGAUAUUGCUGAGAAACAGAAAAGAGUCUUUAUUUAGCCAAGUGGUCGUGUAUAAAAGAGUCAUCUGUUAAGGUCCAGUGUCUCUUAUUUUGGGCCUCCUUUUAAUAACAGAAUAAAUAGCGGUACUGUAACGUCUCA